GAUGAACGCUAGCGGGAGGCUUAACACAUGCAAGUCGAGGGGCAGCACGAGGUAGCAAUACUUUGGUGGCGACCGGCGCACGGGUGAGUAACGCGUAUGCAACCUACCCUGUACAGGGGGAUAACCCGGAGAAAUUCGGACUAAUACCCCAUAAAGAUAUUUAGAGGCAUCUUUGAAUAUUUAAAGUUCCGGCGGUACGGGAUGGGCAUGCGUAACAUUAGCUAGUUGGUAAGGUAACGGCUUACCAAGGCAACGAUGUUUAGGAGUCCUGAGAAGGUGAUCCCCCACACUGGUACUGAGACACGGACCAGACUCCUACGGGAGGCAGCCGUGAGGAAUAUUGGUCAAUGGGCGCAAGCCUGAACCAGCCAUCCCGCGUGAAGGAAGAAUGCGCUAUGCGUUGUAAACUUCUUUUCCAGGGGAAUAAAAUUUUGUACGUGUACGGAAUUGAAGGUACCCUGGGAAUAAGCAUCGGCUAACUCCGUGCCAGCCGCCGCCGUAACAC
rnacentral:rRNA from 1 species